GAUGAACGCUGGCGGCGUGCUUAACACAUGCAAGUCGAACGAAGCGUAUUCAAGUGAAGUUUUCGGACAAAGCGAGGAUAUGACUUAGUGGCGGACGGGUGAGUAACGCGUGGGCAACCUGCCUUUCACAGCGGGAUAACAGAGGGAAGCUUCUGCUAAUACCGCAUAUACCUUUAUAACGCAUGUUAGGGAGGGGAAAGAAUUAUCGGUGAGAGAUGGGCCCGCGUCCGAUUAGAUAGUUGGUGGGGUAACAGCCUACCAAGUCGACGAUCGGUAGCCGGCUUGAGAGAGUGAACGGCCACAUUGGGACUGAGACACGGCCCAAACUCCUACGGGAGGCAGCAGUGGGGGAUAUUGGACAAUGGGGGCAACCCUGAUCCAGCGACGCCGCGUGAGUGAAGAAGUAUUUCGGUACGUAAAGCUCUAUCAGCAGGGAAGAUAAUGACAGUACCUGAAUAAGAAGCCCCGGCUAACUACGUGCCAGCAGCCGCGGUAAUACGUAGGGGGCAAGCGUUAUCCGGAUUUACUGGGUGUAAAGGGAGCGUAGACGGCGAAGCAAGUCUGAAGUGAAAAUCCGGGGCUCAACUCCGGAAGUGCUUUGGAAACUGUUUUGAUAGAGUGUCGGAGAGGUAAGUGGAAUUCCUGGUGUAGCGGUGAAAUGCGUAAAUAUCAGGAAGAACACCGGAGGCGAAGGCGGCUUACUGGACGAUAACUGACGUUGAGGCUCGAAAGCGUGGGAAGCAAACAGG
rnacentral:rRNA from 1 species